AUGCUUCAGACAUGCAAGUCGAACGAGAUCUUCGGAUCUAGUGGCGCACGGGUGAGUCACGCGUGGGAACCUACCUUUCAGUUCGGGAUCACACGUUGGAACACGACUGCUAAUACCGUAUACGCCCUCAGGGUGGAAAGGUCAGCCGCUGAAAGAGGGGCCCGCGUCUGAUUAGUUUGUAUGGUGGGGUAAAAGCCUACCAAGGCUACGAUCAGUAGCUGGUCUGAGAGGAUGAUCAGCCACACUGGGACUGAGACACGGCCCAGACUCCUACGGGAGGCAGCAGUCGGGAAUAUUGGACAAUGGAGGACACUCUGAUCCAGACAUACCGCGUGUGUGAUGAAGGCCCUAGGGUUGUAAAGCACAUUCAACGGUGAAGAUGAUGACGGUAGCCGUAGAAGAAGCCCCGGCUAACUUCGUGCCAGCAGCCGCGGUAAUACGAAGGGGGCCCGCGUAGUUCGGACUUCUUGGGCGUCAAGGGCGCGCAGGCGGUUUGGAUAGUAAGACGUGAAAGCCCUGGGCUUAACCUAGGAACUGCGUAUCAUAACUGCCCAACUAGAGAACUAGACAGGAUAUCGGAAAUCCCAGUGUAAAGGUGACAUACGCACAUAUUGGGAAGAAACAUCGUGGCGACAGCGGUGGCUGGCUGUUCUGACACUGAGCCGACACGUGGGAGCAACAGAUAAAUACCCGGUAGCCACG
rnacentral:rRNA from 1 species